rnacentral:tRNA from 1 species
UGCCCCCUUCGUCUAGUGGCCCAGGACGUCGGGUUCUCAUCCCGGAAACAGGAGUUCGAUUCUCCUAGGGGGUAA